ensembl:lncRNA
UGCAGAUCAGCUACAGCCAUCCAGAAGCAGAGCUGCUGGUCCCCCCACGGCAGGAUUCAUACAUUCUAAACACUCUGGGCUCAAUUUGCCAGAGUCAUUCUUGGCGGGGGGCUGGUGGGAGUUGGGGUAGGAGGUCAGGCUCACACAAAGCAUCCACCCAAGCCCUUUGGAGAAAGGGAAGAUGCCUGCUGUGGACUGUGGGCAGUCAGUAACGCUUCCUGCCUGUUCACUGGAUGCCAGCUCCUGUAUGCCAGCUGUUGUACUGCACUACUGGACUUUCAAGGUACUGUACUAUAAGAUUAAAAAUGUUUCCUUUAUUUUUUGUGCUUGUUUGUUUUUUAUAUAUUGUUUGUGUGAAAAGUAUUGUUUGUGUUACAGUACAGUAUAGUAUUAGCUGGGCACCUAUGCUAACUUUGGUGAACUUACAAACAAAUUGGACUUACGAACACGCUCUUAGAAGGGAACUUGCUUGCACAUAAGGGACUUACUGUACAGGACUUGCACCAAGCUUCACACCUCCUGUCAGGAAGGAUGGAAAGGUCUGGAGCUAUCAUGCUGGCCUGGCAAAUUGUAUCUUCUAUAGAAGCCCAGUAUUACUGCUCCUUUUAGUUAUUUCUUGAAGGCAUUAAAAAAAUUUUUUUCAGGGAAAUAAAAAUAUCCCUGGGAGGAUCAAUGUUUAAGACUUCUUCAGCUAACACCUCAAUUAUGAGUCAAAACCAUGGCAAGUGUUGGAAACAGGGAGGAAAAAUGGGUGGGUUGAUAAAUAUGUUUCAUAAUUGAGUCUUAGGAAUUUAUCUCUUCGAGAAUUCUGUUCCAGCAAUAUCAAAAGUUAUUAGUGGCCCACAUGUCAAAGGUUCAGUGGUCAUAUUUUUGAAAUAAAAAUUUCCUCAAGUGAUCUGACAAGUCCAAGUGUACUUACGUGGAUAAUGGCAUAAGAUGUUUGAGAUUAGAGUGAACUUUAGCCGAAGGUGGCCGACUCCCUUUUAGUUUGUAGGGUUACACCCUUCCCAGCC